rnacentral:rRNA from 1 species
CACGUAGGGUGCGAGCGUUGUCCGGAAUUAUUGGGCGUAAAGAGCUCGUAGGCGGUGUGUCGCGUCGGCCGUGAAAACCUGCAGCUUAACUGUGGGCUUGCGGUCGAUACGGGCAUCACUGGAGUUCGGCAGGGGAGACUGGAAUUCCUGGUGUAGCGGUGAAAUGCGCAGAUAUCAGGAGGAACACCGGUGGCGAAGGCGGGUCUCUGGGCCGAGUACUGACGCUGAGGAGCGAAAGCGUGGGGGAGCGAACAGG